rnacentral:rRNA from 1 species
GACGAACGCUGGCGGCGUGCUUAACACAUGCAAGUCGAACGGAAAGGCCGGGUGCUUGCACCUGGUACUCGAGUGGCGAACGGGUGAGUAACACGUGGGUGAUCUGCCCUGCACUUCGGGAUAAGCCUGGGAAACUGGGUCUAAUACCGGAUAGGACCAUCGUUUAGUGUCGGUGGUGGAAAGUUUUUUCGGUGUGGGAUGAGCUCGCGGCCUAUCAGCUUGUUGGCGGGGUAAUGGCCCACCAAGGCAACGAUGCGUAGCCGACCUGAGAGGGUGAUCGGCCACAAUGGAACUGAGACACGGUCCAUACUCCUACGGGAGGCAGCAGUAGGGAAUCUUCCACAAUGGGCGCAAGCCUGAUGGAGCAACACCGCGUGAGUGAAGAAGGGUUUCGGCUCGUAAAACUCUGUUGUUGAAGAAGAACGUGCAUGAGAGUAACUGUUCAUGCAGUGACGGUAUUCAACCAGAAAGUCACGGCUAACUAC